rnacentral:rRNA from 1 species
GUGAGGAAUUUUCCGCAAUGGGCGAAAGCCUGACGGAGCAAUGCCGCGUGAAGGAUGAAGGCCUAUGGGUUGUAAACUUCUUUUCUCAGAAAAGAAUUAUGACGGUAUCUGAGGAAUAAGCAUCGGCUAACUCUGUGCCAGCAGCCGCGGUAAGACAGAGGAUGCAAGCGUUAUCCGGAAUGAUUGGGCGUAAAGCGUCUGUAGGUUGUUUAAAAAGUAUUCUGUCAAAGAUUAGGGCUUAAACCUAGAUAGGCAGAAUAAACUUUUAAGCUAGAGUUUGGUAGAGGCAGAGGGAAUUCCCGGUGGAGCGGUGAAAUGCGUAGAUAUCGGGAGGAACACCAAAGGCGAAAGCACUCUGCUGGACCAAUACUAACACUGAGAGACGAAAGCGAGGGGAGCAAAUGGGAUUAGAUACCCUUGUAGUCC